rnacentral:lncRNA from 10 species
UUUGCUUAGCCAUUCACUUGUUAAUAUAGCCAUUGUCUUGUUUUCAGUUUUGGGCUGUUACAAAUAAAACUAUGAAUAUCCACAUACAAGUCUUUUUGUGGACAUGUUUUCAUUUGUCUUGGAUAAAUACCUAGGAGUAGAAUGGCUCAGUCAAGUGGUGGGUAUAUAUUUGGUUUUUAAAGAAACUGUUAACUGUUACCCAGGGUUGUUAAACCAUUUUGUUUGCA